GGGGGCGUACCGGCUUCGACGGGGGCGGCGAGGCAGGAAUAGCGGGCAGAGGCGCCUGGCCUCUAUAAAACGGGCAAUUUUUCUAAAUUAACUGACAACAAUACUGUUGCCCUGGCUGCCUAAUUAGGCGCCCGUCCCACCCGGAAGGACCACGGUCCGGGAUUGGGGCGUUGAUUUGUGGUGAACGUGCGUAUGGUAAGCUUUGCCCAUACCAUGAAUCAUGAAGCUACCAAACCGCGCAGGGUGCCGGCUCCCGUCGCGGUGAGGGAAUGUAAUGAACCGGCUGCGCCCGGAGAGGUUCCUGUUUAACUGCUUUCGGACAGGGGUUCAACUCCCCUCGCCUCCACCA
rnacentral:tmRNA from 1 species